UUUAACUGAGCGUUCAGUUACUUGACGUAGACCCGAAACCGGGCGACCUACCCAUGAGCAGGAUGAAGCGAAAGUAAAAUUUCGUGGAGGUCCGAACCCACGAGCGUUGAAAAGCUCGGGGAUGACUUGUGGGUAGCGGUGAAAUUCCAAUCGAGCCCGGAGAUAGCUGGUUCUCCCCGAAAUAGCUUUAGGGCUAGCCUCAAGGUGAGAGAUACGGAGGUAGAGCACUGAAUGUCCUAGGGGGUAUUGCACCUACCGAAGACUAUCAAACUCCGAAUGCCGUCAUCUUAUACUUGGGAGUCAGACUGUGGGUGAUAAGAUUCAUAGUCGAAAGGGCAACAGCCCAGAUCGUCAGCUAAGGUCCCUAAAUGUAAGUUAAGUGGUAAAGGAUGUGGGAUUGCACAGACAACCAGGAUGUUGGCUUAGAAGCAGCCACUCAUUCAAAGAGUGCGUAAUAGCUCACUGGUCGAGUGAUCCUGCGCCGAAGAUUUCCGGGGCUAAAACUUACUACCGAAGCUACGGCAUCAGUAAUGAUGGGUAGGGGAGCUUCCCAUACGGGUUGAAGCAUGAUCGUAAGGACAUGUGGACAGUAUGGGAGUGAGAAUGUUGGCAUGAGUAGCGAGAUGUGGGUGAGAAUCCCACAGGCCGUAAACCCAAGGUUUCCAGGGGAAGGUUCGUCCGCCCUGGGUUAGUCGGGACCUAAGCUGAGGCCGAAAGGCGUAGGUGAUGGACAACAGGUUGAUAUUCCUGUACUACCGAUAACCGUUUGAGAGAAGGGAUGACACAGUAGGAUAAGCUAAGCACACUGUUGGUUAUGUGUGCCCAAGCAUUGAGGCAGUCAAAGUAGGUAAAUCCGCUUUGAUAAUGCUGGGAUGUGAUGGGGAGCGAAAUUUAGUAGCGAAGUAGCUGAUUUCACACUGUCAAGAAAAGUCUCUAUCGAGGUUAAAGGUACCCGUACCGCAAACCGACACAGGUGGGUGAGGAGAGUAUCCUAAGGCCAGCGAGAGAACUGUUGUUAAGGAACUCGGCAAAAUGACCCCGUAACUUAGGGAUAAGGGGUGCCACCAUCAGGUGGCCGCAGAGAAUAGGCCCAAGCGACUGUUUACCAAAAACAUAGGUUUCUGCUAAGUCGCAAGACGAUGUAUAGGAGCUGACGCCUGCCCGGUGCUGGAAGGUUAAGGGGAUCUGUUAGAGCAAUCGAAGCAGUGAACUUAAGCCCCAGUAAACGGCGGCCGUAACUAUAACGGUCCUAAGGUAGCGAAAUUCCUUGUCGGGUAAGUUCCGACCCGCACGAAAGGCGUAACGAUUUGGGCACUGUCUCAACAACAGACUCGGUGAAAUUGUAAUUCCGGUGAAGAUGCCGGAUACCUGCGACAGGACGGAAAGACCCCAUGGAGCUUUACUGUAGCUUGACAUUGGGUCUUGGUACUACAUGUACAGGAUAGGUGGGAGGCUUUGAAACCAGGACGCCAGUUUUGGCGGAGCCAUCCUUGGGAUACCACCCUUGUAGUACUGGGACUCUAACCAUAGGCCAUGAAUCUGGUCUUGGGACACUGUCAGGUGGGCAGUUUGACUGGGGCGGUCGCCUCCCAAAAGGUAACGGAGGCGCUCAAAGGUUCUCUCAGUACGGUCGGAAAUCGUACGUAGAGUGUAAAGGCAAAAGAGAGCUUGAUUGCAAGACAUACAGGUCGAGCAAGGAUGAAAAUCGGACUUAGUGAUCCGGUGGUUCUGCGUGGAAGGGCCAUCGCUCAACGGAUAAAAGCUACCCUGGGGAUAACAGGCUUAUCUCCCCCAAGAGUCCACAUCGACGGGGAGGUUUGGCACCUCGAUGUCGGCUCAUCACAUCCUGGGGCUGUAGUAGGUCCCAAGGGUUGGGCUGUUCGCCCAUUAAAGUGGUACGCGAGCUGGGUUCAGAACGUCGUGAGACAGUUCGGUCCCUAUCCGUCGCAGGCGUAGGAAAUUUGAGAAGACCUGUCCUUAGUACGAGAGGACCGGGAUGGACG
rnacentral:rRNA from 1 species